rnacentral:rRNA from 1 species
UACGUAGGUCCCGAGCGUUGUCCGGAUUUAUUGGGCGUAAAGCGAGCGCAGGUGGUUUAUUAAGUCUGGUGUAAAAGGCAGUGGCUCAACCAUUGUAUGCAUUGGAAACUGGUAGACUUGAGUGCAGGAGAGGAGAGUGGAAUUCCUAGUGUAGCGGUGGAAUGCGUAGAUAUUAGGAGGAACAUCAGUGGCGAAGGCGACUUUCUGGACUGUAACUGACGCUGAGGCACGAAAGUGUGGGGAGCAAACAGG